rnacentral:lncRNA from 1 species
UUAACUUCACAAGAGUGCUUAUUUUAUUGAAUAUUCAUUCUGUUCUCUUUUCAGUAGGAAGAAAAAUAGUUUCUGUAAUUGAAAUACAAAAAUGGGCCAUUGCUUUCACUCCUUAGAGGGACAAAAAUCAGACAGAGUCAACAGCAGGUCAAACGGGCAAGGGAAGGAAGAAAAAUAACACAUAGCUUUAGCAUAACCACCUAAAUAAAUGUGUUGCCUGGCUUCAAAAUAAAGAAAUCUAGCUUAAAGCAGAUGAUCUCUCAAACAGAUGGGACCUCCACAACCAAGAGCUAGCUACAGGUCUAGCUCUUCCACUAUGAAACCCAGGCAGGCU